rnacentral:rRNA from 1 species
AGAGUUUGAUCCUGGCUCAGAAUGAACGCUGGCGGCAGGCCUAACACAUGCAAGUCGAACGAGGUAGCAAUACCUAGUGGCGGACGGGUGAGUAACACGUGGGAACGUACCCUUUGCUACGGAAUAGCCCUGGGAAACUGGGAGUAAUACCGUAUGAGCCCGAGAGGGGAAAGAUUUAUCGGCAAAGGAUCGGCCCGCGUUGGAUUAGGUAGUUGGUGGGGUAAUGGCCUACCAAGCCGACGAUCCAUAGCUGGUUUGAGAGGAUGAUCGGCCACACUGGGACUGAGACACGGCCCAGACUCCUACGGGAGGCAGCAGUGGGGAAUCUUAGACAAUGGGGGAAACCCUGAUCUAGCCAUGCCGCGUGAUCGAUGAAGGCCUUAGGGUUGUAAAGAUCUUUCAGGUGGGAAGAUAAUGACUGUACCACCAGAAGAAGCCCCGGCUAACUCCGUG